UACGUAGGGUGCGAGCGUUGUCCGGAAUUAUUGGGCGUAAAGAGCUCGUAGGCGGUUUGUCGCGUCUGCUGUGAAAACUGGAGGCUCAACCUCCAGCCUGCAGUGGGUACGGGCAGACUAGAGUGCGGUAGGGGAGAUUGGAAUUCCUGGUGUAGCGGUGGAAUGCGCAGAUAUCAGGAGGAACACCAUGGCAAGGCGACUCUGUCGUAACGUGCUGACGAGCGACGAACUGGGGAGCAACGG
rnacentral:rRNA from 1 species